GACGAACGCUGGCGGCGCGCUUAACACAUGCAGGUCGAGCGAGAACCGGGGCUUCGGCCCCGGGGAAAGCGGCGAACGGGUGAGUAACACGUGGGCAACCUGCCCUCGGCACCGGGAUAGCCCGGGGAAACCCGGAUUAAUACCGGAUGGCCUCCGGAGCCCUCGGGCGCCGGAGAAAAGGUGGCUUCGGCUUCCGGCUGAGGAGGGGCCUGCGGCGGGUUAGCUUGUUGGUGGGGUAACGGCUCACCAAGGCGACGAUCCGUAGCUGGUCUGAGAGGACGAUCAGCCACACUGGGACUGAGACACGGCCCAGACUCCUACGGGAGGCAGCAGUGGGGAAUCUUGCGCAAUGGGCGAAAGCCUGACGCAGCGACGCCGCGUGCGGGAAGAAGGCCUUCGGGUUGUAAACCGCUUUCAGGAGGGACGAAGCCACUCGGGUUAAUAGCCCAGAGGGUGACGGUACCUCCAGAAGAAGCCCCGGCUAACUACGUGCCAGCCGCCGCAGUAAUAC
rnacentral:rRNA from 1 species